ensembl:lncRNA
CAUCCGUAACAUGAGAAUCUGCAUCACAGAGGGUGCCCUCUGCAGCAUUUUGCUCGUUGGGCGUUUCGCUUUCUGCCUUCUUGUCUCGGGAGAGCACACGUCUGACUCAGGCCGGAUCUGGCUCCUUCCCUUUCACGUCUGUGUUCUGUUGCCUUGUCUGCAAGCCGCUCGCUAGAGGGAGGAGGCCCACGGUGUAUGGAGUGGCUGGCUCCUGAGCUCUGCCCCCUUGCCCGAGUGUCAGCUCUCAGGAGACCCGCGGCCAAGCCCGCGGGGCAUGGCUGCAGGGGGUGAGCCCCUGAGCCGUCCAUUCAGAGUCCGGCUGGAAGCAGGAAGCGUCUGCAGCAGCCUGUGGCCUUUAGCACUUUAGAAGGCCCCUCACCUCCCAGUCUCUGCACCGUAAGAGACACAGGAGUCAAACCCCAGGCCAGAGGGUUCGGGAGGACUCUCGUCGGCCCUCUGCUCGUCUGCUGGCUCGGCCAGUGAGGCCGCUACUCGUGGCCCUGACUCCUGGCCCUUGGUGGAACGGCCUGCCGUGAGGCGAGCUGAGCGGAAGGAGCCUGGGCUCCGGGAAGUCUCUGGGCCCCGCUGCUCGGCAGCCCNNNNNNNNNNNCUUGGCUCUGUAUUCAGUGCCUGCCGUCAUCCUGGGGGAGUUACAGACUCCUUCAGGUCCUCUUCACCGUUUGCAGAAACGGUCAGAGGGAGUACUUCCUGCAGGCGGGAAAGGUGUUUCCUGCUACCUGCUGGACCCUGUAGAGGACGGAGCGCUGCAUCUGCCUUCAGGCCUGUGCAGCAGCGGCUGUUGCCGGGGAGGCGCGUGCCAGGGACCAUGUCCCGGGAAGCCCCCGGCUGCAAGGGGACGACUCGACGUGGACACUCAUCACUGAACAGCAGAAGGUGAGCAGCCCAGUGAAGAAUGGGUGAAGUCUGAACAUGCCCCCAAAGAUGGACAGCUGACACACGAGCACUUGGAAAGACCUUCCACAUCACAAGCCAUCAGGGACUGCGUGCUCAAAGGACCGUGAGGCACCACUGCACGGUUAGAAUGGCUGGAACCCAGAACACAACACACCAGGUCCUGGCAAUGACAUAGAGCAAAAGGGGUGUUCACUCCUGGGCGGGGCUGCAAAAGGCUCAACCACCUGCAGACGUCUUAACACAUCUGCAUGGAGGUGAAGCUGGACUUCAUGUGGGAUGGCGCUGUGGCUCUGAGGCAAAGACUCGGGUCCACACAGAGACCUCACAGGGGCUCAUGCCUGUAGAGCACACCGACGCUUGACCCCAGUGUUGAUAUUUCGCUUACAGAAUGUUUACUGUAUGGAACACACUCCUCUGAGAGAGUAUCUAUUGUAUGGAAAACAUUCCUGUAACAGAGAACACACCCUUCUGACAGUGAACACACCUCUCUGACAGGGAACAUACACACCUGUCACACACACACACACCUGUCACACAGACAUACAGAUACACAGACACACUUUCAUACUCACACACACACACACAACUACACACAUUCACACACUCAUACUCGCAUAUACACACCCUCAUAAUUACAUAUACACAAUCACAUCCACACACACACUCACUCAUAUAUACACACACACACCCAGUCACACACAUUCACACACUCAGAUGCACACAUAAACACCCUCAUACUUACAUAUACACACUCACAUGCACACACACACGUACUCACUCAAAUAUACACACACACACCCAAUCACACACAGUCACACACUCAUAUUUACAUAUACACACUCACAUGCACACACACACACUCACGUAUACACACACACACAUGCACACACAUAUGCACCCGCACUCUCACAUGCACACUGACACACACNNNNNNNNNNNNNNNNNCUUGUGCUUCUCAUGGCCUCACUGAGCUGUGUAUUCCCAACAGGCCCCAAUAUUAAACGUCACCAGUCCUUGUCCUGCCAGUUAUGGUGUUCAGUGAAAAGAGAAGCCUCUCUGAGUCUCCCCGGGGCCCUCCCCACAUGCUCCUGGGCAGCAGCCCUGCACUGGGGUCCUGGGCGGCCCCUGCCUGGGCGCACAGGGCAGUCCUAGCAGUGUUUCUAGUCUGCUGUCAAGUGGCUGUUUCUACCUUCAGAGUGUUCUUCUAGAGACAGCAUGUUCUUUUAACCAUCUCCAGAAAUAGCCUCAACAAACGCACACACUCUGUAGAGAGACCCCAAGGAAGGAGCCUGUGAGAACACCUGGACGUCGCCUCCCUGGGGCUGCAGGUGCACUGAUGCUGUUGAC